rnacentral:rRNA from 1 species
AUGAACAGUUGGCGUUGGCUCUUGGGGAAGCAGCUACAGUCAACCUGUUCAAGAGGUCGGUGUUUUUUCUGUCGAUCAGGAGCAAGGACUUCAUCCACUACUACCUGCGACGAUGUGUCAGGCGUUCAGAUGCAUUAUCUCCCAUGGGAGUUCAAUCAGCUCCUUGUUAAUGCAGUGAGGCAGGAAAUCAAGAAUCUGUACAAUAUCAACGUUCGAAAGGUCGUGCUGAUGGGCCCUCCCCCUGUUGGCUGUGCUCCUCACUUCCUUUCGGACUACGGCAGCCUAAAUGGGGAAUGCAUCGACUACAUCAACAACGUUGUGAUCGAGUUCAACUAUGGCCUGAGAUACAUGUCCAGAGAGUUCAUCCGCCAGUACCCAGACCCUGUGAUCAGUUACUGUGAUACAUUUGAGGGGUCAGUGGACAUACUAGAGAACCGUGUCCGCUAUGUUAAAUGGAGUGCUAAGUCUUCUCAUUUUGGUGGAACUGCAACGCGCAGGCUUUCUGACUACCACUGA